rnacentral:rRNA from 1 species
GGUAGUCCACGCCGUAAUCGAUGAGUGCUAAGUGUUGGAGGGUUUCCGCCCUUCAGUGCUGCAGUUAACGCAUUAAGCACUCCGCCUGGGGAGUACGGCCGCAAGGCUGAAACUCAAAGGAAUUGACGGGGGCCCGCACAAGCGGUGGAGCAUGUGGUUUAAUUCGAAGCAACGCGAAGAACCUUACCAGGUCUUGACAUCCUUUGACCACUCUAGAGAUAGAGCUUUCCCUUCGGGGACAAAGUGACAGGUGGUGCAUGGUUGUCGUCAGCUCGUGUCGUGAGAUGUUGGGUUAAGUCCCGCAACGAGCGCAACCCUUAUUGUUAGUUGCCAUCAUUCAGUUGGGCACUCUAGCGAGACUGCCGGUGACAAACCGGAGGAAGGUGGGGAUGACGUCAAAUCAUCAUGCCCCUUAUGACCUGGGCUACACACGUGCUACAAUGGACGGUACAAUGAGUCGCGAGACCGCGAGGUUUAGCUAAUCUCUUAAAGCCGUUCUCAGUUCGGAUUGUAGGCUGCAACUCGCCUACAUGAAGCCGGAAUCGCUAGUAAUCGUGGAUCAGCACGCCACGGUGAAUACGUUCCCGGGCCUUGUACACACCGCCCGUCACACCACGAGAGUUUGUAACACCCAAAGUCGGUGAGGUAACCUAUGGAGCCAGCCGCUCGCCUGAGAAUA